rnacentral:rRNA from 1 species
GAGUUUGAUCAUGGCUCAGAUUGAACGCUGGCGGCAUGCCUUACACAUGCAAGUCGAACGGCAGCACGGGAGCAAUCCUGGUGGCGAGUGGCGAACGGGUGAGUAAUACAUCGGAACGUGCCCAAUCGUGGGGGAUAACGCAGCGAAAGCUGUGCUAAUACCGCAUACGAUCUACGGAUGAAAGCAGGGGACCGCAAGGCCUUGCGCGAAUGGAGCGGCCGAUGGCAGAUUAGGUAGUUGGUGGGGUAAAGGCUCACCAAGCCAACGAUCUGUAGCUGGUCUGAGAGGACGACCAGCCACACUGGGACUGAGACACGGCCCAGACUCCUACGGGAGGCAGCAGUGGGGAAUUUUGGACAAUGGGCGCAAGCCUGAUCCAGCCAUGCCGCGUGCAGGAUGAGGGCCUUC